rnacentral:tRNA from 1 species
GCUCUCGUGGGCUUGUUGGUUUGUGCGUCGUGCUUCUAAGCAGUGCAGGAGUAAAUGCGAAGGUCGAGGGUUCGAUCCCCUCCGGUAGCA